UGCCCCACCUCAGGAGAUUCUCAGUA
rnacentral:misc_RNA from 1 species